rnacentral:pre_miRNA from 1 species
AGUGGAAUUGUUGGAUUGUAUGCUAAUUUGAUUUUACACUUUUUGAGGGACCACAGAACUACUUUCCAUAGUGGCUCUACCACUUUACAUUCCCACCAACAGU